rnacentral:rRNA from 1 species
GACGAACGCUGGCGGCGUGCUUAACACAUGCAAGUCGAACGGAAAGGCCCUGCUUUUGUGGGGUGCUCGAGUGGCGAACGGGUGAGUAACACGUGAGUAACCUGCCCUUGACUUUGGGAUAACUUCAGGAAACUGGGGCUAAUACCGGAUAGGAGCUCCUGCUGCAUGGUGGGGGUUGGAAAGUUUCGGCGGUUGGGGAUGGACUCGCGGCUUAUCAGCUUGUUGGUGGGGUAGUGGCUUACCAAGGCUUUGACGGGUAGCCGGCCUGAGAGGGUGACCGGCCACAUUGGGACUGAGAUACGGCCCAGACUCCUACGGGAGGCAGCAGUGGGGAAUAUUGCACAAUGGGCGGAAGCCUGAUGCAGCAACGCCGCGUGCGGGAUGACGGCCUUCGGGUUGUAAACCGCUUUCGCCUGUGACGAAGCGUGAGUGACGGUAAUGGGUAAAGAAGCACCGGCUAACUACGUGCCAGCAGCCGCGGUGAUACGUAGGGUGCGAGCGUUGUCCGGAUUUAUUGGGCGUAAAGGGCUCGUAGGUGGUUGAUCGCGUCGGAAGUGUAAUCUUGGGGCUUAACCCUGAGCGUGCUUUCGAUACGGGUUGACUUGAGGAAGGUAGGGGAGAAUGGAAUUCCUGGUGGAGCGGUGGAAUGCGCAGAUAUCAGGAGGAACACCAGUGGCGAAGGCGGUUCUCUGGGCCUUUCCUGACGCUGAGGAGCGAAAGCGUGGGGAGCGAACAGGCUUAGAUACCCUGGUAGUCCACGCUGUAAACGGUGGGUACUAGGUGUGGGGUCCAUUCCACGGGUUCCGUGCCGUAGCUAACGCUUUAAGUACCCCGCCUGGGGAGUACGGCCGCAAGGCUAAAACUCAAAGGAAUUGACGGGGCCCCGCACAAGCGGCGGAGCAUGCGGAUUAAUUCGAUGCAACGCGUAGAACCUUACCUGGGUUUGACAUGGAUCGGGAGUGCUCAGAGAUGGGUGUGCCUCUUUUGGGGUCGGUUCACAGGUGGUGCAUGCCUGUCGUCAGCUCGUGUCGUGAGAUGUUGGGUUAAGUCCCGCAACGAGCGCAACCCUUGUUCACUGUUGCCAGCACGUUAUGGUGGGGACUCAGUGGAGACCGCCGGGGUCAACCCGGAGGAAGGUGGGGAUGACGUCAAGUCCUCAUGCCCCUUAUGUCCAGGGCUUCACGCAUGCUACAAUGGCUGGUACAGAGAGUGGCGAGCCUGUGAGGGUGAGCGAAUCCCGGAAAGCCGGUCUCAGUUCGGAUUGGGGUCUGCAACUCGACCUCAUGAAGUCGGAGUCGCUAGUAAUCGCAGAUCAGCAACGCUGCGGUGAAUACGUUCCCGGG